UUCAGCACUAAGUCACUUUGUCUUUAUGGCAAAUGUGAGAUGCAGUGUAUGGUAUGUUCAAUUUCUAGUAUGAGAAAUUAACGAUUUAAGUCCUUCUUAAAUGAGGCCAUUUACCCAUAGAGGGUGCCAGGCCCGUAUAACGUUAAUGAUUACUAGAGAACAUUUCCAAAGAGUCGUGUUGCUUGAUAGUGCAGCACUAAGUGGGUGGUAAACUCCAUCUAAAACUAAAUAUAACCAUGAGACCGAUAGUAAACAAGUACCGUGAGGGAAAGUUGAAAAGAACUCUGAAUAGAGAGUUAAAUAGUACGUGAAACUGCUUAGAGGUUAAGCCCGAUGAACCUGAAUAUCCAUUAUGGAAAAUUCAUCAUUAUGAUUAUGAUAUGAAUAAUAUCUAUAAUAAUGGUGUGCAUUUUUUCCAUAUAAGGACAUUGUAAUCUAUUAACAUGCCAUAAUUUAUCAUAAGAUCGAUAACUAAAGUUUAUUCAAAUUAUUUUGCUUGCAAUUUAACAUAGAAUAAAUGAUAUUGAUUUGAUAAAGUGUUGAUAGAUUUAUUAUAUACAGUGCUUGAAUAUAUUUAUAUUCUAUAAUAGCAAAGUAAUCAUGAUUAUUAUGUUUAUUAUAUGCACUUGUAUGAUUAACAAUGCGAAAGAUUCAGGAUACCUUCGGGACCCGUCUUGAAACACGGACCAAGGAGUCUAACAUAUUUGCAAGUUAUUGGGAAUUAAAAACCUAAUAGCGAAAUUAACAUAACUUAUAUAAUGGGAUUAGUUUUUGUCUAUUUAUAGUCUAUUAAUUCAAUCCCGGGACGUUCUAUCAGUUAUGUAUUUUAAUACUUGUAUUAUUUAUACCUCUAACUAGAGCGUACCUUGAGCAUAUAUGCUGUGACCCGAAAGAUGGUGAACUAUACUUGAUCAGGUUGAAGUCAGGGGAAACCCUG
rnacentral:rRNA from 1 species